GAUGAACGCUGGCGGCGUGCCUAAUACAUGCAAGUCGAGCGAACAGACGAGGAGCUUGCUCCUCUGACGUUGGCGGCGGACGGGUGAGUAACACGUGGAUAACCUACCUAUAAGACUGGGAUAACUUCGGGAAACCGGAGCUAAUACCGGAUAAUAUAUUGAACCGCAUGGUUCAAUAGUGAAAGACGGUUUUGCUGUCACUUAUAGAUGGAUCCGCGCCGCAUUAGCUAGUUGGUAAGGUAACGGCUUACCAAGGCAACGAUGCGUAGCCGACCUGAGAGGGUGAUCGGCCACACUGGAACUGAGACACGGUCCAGACUCCUACGGGAGGCAACAGUAGGGAAUCUUCCGCAAUGGGCGAAAGCCUGACGGAGCAACGCCGCGUGAGUGAUGAAGGUCUUCGGAUCGUAAAACUCUGUUAUUAGGGAAGAACAAAUGUGUAAGUAACUAUGCACGUCUUGACGGUACCUAAUCAGAAAGCCACGGCUAACUACGUG
rnacentral:rRNA from 1 species